GGAGGGAGCUAGCGUUGUUCGGAAUUACUGGGCGUAAAGCGCACGUAGGCGGCUUUGUAAGUCAGAGGUGAAAGCCUGGAGCUCAACCUCCAGAACUGCCUUUGAGACUGCAUCGCUUGAAUCCAGGAGAGGUGAGUGGAAUUCCGAGUGUAGAGGUGAAAUUCGUAGAUAUUCGGAAGAACACCAGUGGCGAAGGCGGCUCACUGGACUGGUAUUGACGCUGAGGUGCGAAAGCGUGGGGAGCAAACAGGAUUAGAUACCUGGUAGUCCACGCCCGUAAACGAUGAUAACUAGCUGUCCCGGGCACUUGGUGCUUGGGUGGCGCAGCUAACGCAUUAAGUUAUCCGCCUGGGGAGUACGGUCGCAAGAUUA
rnacentral:rRNA from 1 species